UGCAGAGUUUUACUUCACAACAGCAUACUGCAGGCAAAUUGUGCAGCAGAAUUAAGUUGGACUUGUUGCAGACUAGCCUGUAAAAGCAGGGGUUUGUUUCUGCUUCAGCUACAGCUCCCCUUGAAAUCCAUUAGCUCCUUGUGGUUCCUCUCUGCUUGACCACCUCUGCAAGUCCAAAAAAAAGAUGGAUGUAAUGUAACCAAAAAUAAAGGUGUCGAGAUGGAACUUGUGCUAUUGUGGCUACACCUGUCUUGAUGAAAAGGCUGGAGAGUAAAAAGGCCUGUAAAAUACCACUGAAUGCCCCCACCUGCUGCGUCUGGUUUAACAAACAUGUUUCAAGUGCCAGCUCAGCAUCUUCAGAGACCUGUGUUACAAAAAAGGGUAAAACUGAAGUAGGUAUGUAUUGCAUACUGUUACCCCAUGGAGUUUUUCUCUUCAACAUCUGAAGGGAAUAAAUGUUAGAAUGACUUCAUAUUUGGACUCUUUUUAAACAUUCCCAUCUAAAAAAUGUACUUGACAAAGUACUUAGACAAAAUUUCAUGCCUAAAAACAUGUAGUUUUGUACUUUACAAGUGUAGAUGCUAUUUAGUAAGUUGGUUU